rnacentral:rRNA from 1 species
UACGUAGGGCGCAAGCGUUGUCCGGAAUUAUUGGGCGUAAAGAGCUCGUAGGCGGCUUGUCACGUCGGGUGUGAAAGACCGGGGCUUAACCCCGGUUCUGCAUUCGAUACGGGCUGGCUAGAGUGUGGUAGGGGAGAUCGGAAUUCCUGGUGUAGCGGUGAAAUGCGCAGAUAUCAGGAGGAACACCGGUGGCGAAGGCGGAUCUCUGGGCCAUUACUGACGCUGAGGAGCGAAAGCGUGGGGAGCGAACAGGG